GGGUGUAGGGUUUUUUUGUCUGAGUUGCGGUAGACAAAAUUAUCUUUUUAUAAACCCAAUGAAUAGGGUCACAGAACUAGUGAUAUAGGGAUACAGUGGGAAUUAAAGGAGAAGUAGGAGGUACAGGACGAGAUCCAAGAGGUGCAGGGAGGAACACUCUUGGAAAGAUAGAGGGUUUUCUAUCCUACUCUACUUCCUAAGAAGGAUUGCCUAAGGGAAUUUGGUUUCCCCAAUGAUAUUCUAAUAUUAACUUUUUGUGAAAUUCCAAACCCUAAUUAAUUCCUAAAAUCUUCUAUCUAGAGAAUUAUUAUCAUGUGCAUUACGUCUACC
rnacentral:lncRNA from 1 species